UAUGUGUGAGUAAAUAUGAUCUUAUAAAAUGUAAAAUGGACUGUGAGUAUUGGAUUUAGUCUGAGGAGUGCCAUAUUAUCCGAAGAAAGGAUCAAUUUUAAACCUAUCACUUACAACAUUUAAAUACACAAAUAAUGGUUAACAAAAAGUCUUCUCAUUAGAAGACUAGAAAUUUGGAAACUGAACAAAAUCUUAGAUGACAUCUUCAUUCGAACUCGAUGACAAACUUGAAUCUAAAUAUUACCAGAAUGCAUCACAUUCGUAGCCAAACUUUAAAGAGAAGAAAACUAAGAACAUGAUAUCCAGGAUAUUAGUUGACGCUUUUAAAGUAUUUUGUACUGACUUCCGAUUUACUUUAUAUUCAUUACGUCAAAGUCUUAAUCGGGAACCGUUUAACACAUAAAUUGAAUAUUGGAAGUCCUGUACACUAUGUGUGAGUAAAUAUGAUCUUAUAAAAUGUAAAAUGGACUGUGAGUAUUGGAUUUAGUCUGAGGAGUGCCAUAUUAUCCGAAGAAAGGAUCAAUUUUAAACCUAUCACUUACAACAUUUAAAUACAGAAAUAAUGGUUAACAAAAAGUCUUCUCAUUAGAAGACCAGAAAUUUGGAAACUUAACAAAAUAUUAGAUGACAACUUCAUUCGAACUCGAUGACAAACUUGAAUCUAAACAUUACCAGAAUACAUCACAUUCGUAGCCAAACUUUAAAGAGAAGAAAACUAAGAACAUGAUAUCCAGGAUAUUAGUUGACGCUUUUAAAGUAUUUUGUACUGACUUCCGAUUUACUUUAUAUUCAUUACGUCAAAGUCUUAAUCGGGAACCGUUUAACACAUAAAUUGAAUAUUGGAAGUCCUGUACACUAUGUGUGAGUAAAUAUGAUCUUAUAAAAUGUAAAAUGGACUGUGAGUAUUGGAUUUAGUCUGGGAGUGCCAUAUUAUCCGAAGAAAGGAUCAAUUUUAAACCUAUCACUUACAACAUUUAAAUACAGAAAUAAUGGUUAACAAAAAGUCUUCUCAUUAGAAGACCAGAAAUUUGGAAACUUAACAAAAUCUUAGAUGACAUCUUCAUUCGAACUCGAUGACAAACUUGAAUCUAAAUAUUACCAGAAUGCAUCACAUUCGUAGCCAAACUUUAAAGAGAAGAAAACUUAGAACAUGAUAUCCAGGAUAUUAGUUGACGCUUUUAAAGUAUUUUGUACUGACUUCCGAUUUACUUUAUAUUCAUUACGUCAUAGUCUUAAUCGGGAACCGUUUAACACAUAAAUUGAAUAUUGGAAGUCCUGUACACUAUGUGUGAGUAAAUAUGAUCUUAUAAAAUGUAAAAUGGACUGUGAGUAUUGGAUUUAGUCUGAGGAGUGCCAUAUUAUCCGAAGAAAGGAUCAAUUUUAAACUUAUCACUUACAACAUUUAAAUACAGAAAUAAUGGUUAACAAAAAGUCUUCUCAUUAGAAGACUAGAAAUUUGGAAACUGAACAAAAUCUUAGAUGACAUCUUCAUUCGAACUCGAUGACAAACUUGAAUCUAAAUAUUACCAGAAUGCAUCACAUUCGUAGCCAAACUUUAAAGAGAAGAAAACUAAGAACAUGAUAUCCAGGAUAUUAGUUGACGCUUUUAAAGUAUUUUGUACUGACUUCCGAUUUACUUUAUAUUCAUUACGUCAUAGUCUUAAUCGGGAACCGUUUAACACAUAAAUUGAAUAUUGGAAGUCCUGUACACUAUGUGUGAGUAGAUAUGAUCUUAUAAAAUGUAAAAUAGACUGUGAGUAGUGGAUUUAGUCUGGGGAGUGCUUUAUUGUCCGAAGAAAGGAUCAAUUUUAAACUUAUCACUUACAACAUUUAAAUACAGAAAUAAUGGUUAACAAAAAGUCUUCUCAUUAGAAGACCAGAAAUUUGGAAACUUAACAAAAUAUUAGAUGACAUCUUCAUUCGAACUCGAUGACAAACUUGAUUCUAAAUAUUACCAGAAUGCAUCACAUUCGCAGCCAAACUUUAAAGAGAAGAAAACUAAGAACAUGAUAUCCAGGAUAUUAGUUGACGCUUUUAAAGUAUUUUGUACUGACUUCCGAUUUACUUUAUAUUCAUUACGUCAAAGUCUUAAUCGGGAACCGUUUAACACAUAAAUUGAAUAUUGGAAGUCCUGUACACUAUGUGUGAGUAGAUAUGAUCUUAUAAAAUGUAAAAUGGACUGUGAGUAUUGGAUUUAGUCUGAGGAGUGCCAUAUUAUCCGAAGAAAGGAUCAAUUUUAAACCUAUCACUUACAACAUUUAAAUACAGAAAUAAUGGUUAACAAAAAGUCUUCUCAUUAGAAGACUAGAAAUUUGGAAACUGAACAAAAUCUUAGAUGACAUCUUCAUUCGAACUCGAUGACAAACUUGAAUCUAAAUAUUACCAGAAUGCAUCACAUUCGUAGCCAAACUUUAAAGAGAAGAAAACUAAGAACAUGAUAUCCAGGAUAUUAGUUGACGCUUUUAAAGUAUUUUGUACUGACUUCCGAUUUACUUUAUAUUCAUUACGUCAAAGCCUUAACCGGAAACCGUUUAACACAUAAAUUGAAUAUUGAAAGUCCUGUACAUUAUGUGUGAGUAAAUAUGAUCUUAUAAAAUGUAAAAUGGACUGUGAGUAUUGGAUUUAGUCUGAGGAGUACCAUAUUAUCCGAAGAAAGGAUCAAUUUUAAACUUAUCACUUACAACAUUUAAAUACAGAAAUAAUGGUUAACAAAAAGUCUUCUCAUUAGAAGACCAGAAAUUUGGAAACUUAACAAAAUAUUAGAUGACAUCUUCAUUCGAACUCGAUGACAAACUUGAAUCUAAAUAUUACCAGAAUGCAUCACAUUCGUAGCCAAACUUUAAAGAGAAGAAAACUAAGAACAUGAUAUCCAGGAUAUUAGUUGACGCUUUUAAAGUAUUUUGUACUGACUUCCGAUUUACUUUAUAUUCAUUACGUCAAAGUCUUAACCGGAAACCGUUUAACACAUAAAUUGAAUAUUGAAAGUCCUGUACACUAUGUGUGAGUAAAUAUGAUCUUAUAAAAUGUAAAAUGGACUGUGAGUAUUGGAUUUAGUCUGAGGAGUACCAUAUUAUCCGAAGAAAGGAUCAAUUUUAAACUUAUCACUUACAACAUUUAAAUACAGAAAUAAUGGUUAACAAAAAGUCUUCUCAUUAGAAGACCAGAAAUUUGGAAACUUAACAAAAUAUUAGAUGACAUCUUCAUUCGAACUCGAUGACAAACUUGAAUCUAAAUAUUACCAGAAUGCAUCACAUUCGUAGCCAAACUUUAAAGAGAAGAAAACUAAGAACAUGAUAUCCAGGAUAUUAGUUGACGCUUUUAAAGUAUUUUGUACUGACUUCCGAUUUACUUUAUAUUCAUUACGUCAUAGUCUUAAUCGGGAACCGUUUAACACAUAAAUUGAAUAUUGGAAGUCCUGUACACUAUGUGUGAGUAAAUAUGAUCUUAUAAAAUGUAAAAUGGACUGUGAGUAUUGGAUUUAGUCUGAGGAGUGCCAUAUUAUCCGAAGAAAGGAUCAAUUUUAAACUUAUCACUUACAACAUUUAAAUACAGAAAUAAUGGUUAACAAAAAGUCUUCUCAUUAGAAGACUAGAAAUUUGGAAACUGAACAAAAUCUUAGAUGACAUCUUCAUUCGAACUCGAUGACAAACUUGAAUCUAAAUAUUACCAGAAUGCAUCACAUUCGUAGCCAAACUUUAAAGAGAAGAAAACUAAGAACAUGAUAUCCAGGAUAUUAGUUGACGCUUUUAAAGUAUUUUGUACUGACUUCCGAUUUACUUUAUAUUCAUUACGUCAAAGCCUUAACCGGAAACCGUUUAACACAUAAAUUGAAUAUUGAAAGUCCUGUACAUUAUGUGUGAGUAAAUAUGAUCUUAUAAAAUGUAAAAUGGACUGUGAGUAUUGGAUUUAGUCUGAGGAGUGCCAUAUUAUCCGAAGAAAGGAUCAAUUUUAAACCUAUCACUUACAACAUUUAAAUACAGAAAUAAUGGUUAUCAAAAAGUCUUCUCAUUAGAAGACCAGAAAUUUGGAAACUGAACAAAAUCUUAGAUGACAUCUUCAUUCGAACUCGAUGACAAACUUGAAUCUAAAUAUUACCAGAAUGCAUCACAUUCGUAGCCAAACUUUAAAGAGAAGAAAACUAAGAACAUGAUAUCCAGGAUAUUAGUUGACGCUUUUAAAGUAUUUUGUACUGACUUCCGAUUUACUUUAUAUUCAUUACGUCAUAGUCUUAAUCGGGAACCGUUUAACACAUAAAUUGAAUAUUGGAAGUCCUGUACACUAUGUGUGAGUAAAUAUGAUCUUAUAAAAUGUAAAAUGGACUGUGAGUAUUGGAUUUAGUCUGAGGAGUGCCAUAUUAUCCGAAGAAAGGAUCAAUUUUAAACUUAUCACUUACAACAUUUAAAUACAGAAAUAAUGGUUAACAAAAAGUCUUCUCAUUAGAAGACUAGAAAUUUGGAAACUUAACAAAAUAUUAGAUGACAACUUCAUUCGAACUCGAUGACAAACUUGAAUCUAAACAUUACCAGGAUACAUCACAUUCGUAGCCAAACUUUAAAGAGAAGAAAAUUUAGAACAUAAUAUCCAGGAUAUAGUUGACGCUUUUAAAGUAUUUUGUACUGACUUCCGAUUUACUUUAUAUUCAUUACGUCAAAGUCUUAACCGGAAACCGUUUAACAAUUAAAUUGAAUAUUGAAAGUCCUGUACACUAUGUGUGAGUAAAUAUGAUCUUAUAAAAUGUAAAAUGGACUGUGAGUAUUGGAUUUAGUCUGAGG